UGAUUUUAUUGGAGCCCAUGACAACGCCUUGUCCAUAUAAGCAGCAGCAACCCUUUGUUCAUCCCCAAAAUGUUCUUGUAAUAGGAUUUUAGCUUGAGCAUAGCCCCUGUUUGGGUCCAUAUGCUGGCAGCUUCUCACAAGAUCUCUUGGACGACCUCUAGUGUAUUGCUCGAGGAAGUACAGGCAAUCACUAUGACUGUUGGACUUGCUUUCAAUACAGUUUUCAAAGGCUCUCAGGAACGUAUGGAACUGCAGUGGGUCACCAUCAAACACCUGGAUGUCUCUUUUAGGCAAGAGCGCAUGUUGCUGCUGUUGUAUCAGUAGUGUUGUAAUUUCAUUCUGUCUUUUCAUGAUGUCAAGAACAUUGUUUUGCUCCCCAUGACUUGCUGAAUCCCCAACAUUAAGACUGAUUCCAUGAUGUAAGUGAUCAUUAUGAGCAUUGAGCAGAGGAUUAAAAUCAGGUAAGUGGCUCUUCAAAGUGGGAGGCUGAAAGUGAACAGCAUGGGUCGAUCCAUCUGAUUUAGGCCUUGUCACAGGGUCACUGUCCAUGAUUUUCGAUUGCUGUUUAGAUGUUUCCAGCCUCAGAGGAAUGAAAGGAGUGGCAUUGACAUUGAACUUUGUUGUUUCUUGUUCAUUUUUAACGUAGGAACUCAUUGCAUUGGACCUGUCUGUUGUAAUACUUUUCGAACCAGAUAUGCUUGCAGCCCUUAGAACGCUCACUUUAGCCAAGUGUGCAGCAAUCUCUUCAUCCAACUUGAGCUUUUCCUUGCGUUUCCGUAUUUGCUGCUCCUCCUCUUCCAGUGCAUGUCUGUCCUGUAAAAGUUUUUGCCGUGCCAUCAGUGCAGCUAAAUCAGCUUCUGCCUUGAUGCGAGCAGAAGAAGUUCCUGAUACGUUGGACCUUUUACCACUCCCAGAGCUUUUUCCACUCACAGCACUUUUUGCAGAUCGUUUGCUUUGCACAUUUGAUAUGCCAUCACUUGGGUUCAUGUCAUCCUGUGGACCUUCAUAAGGUGUGAUGGGGCCUGUGUCCUGUGCUGCUGCCUGUAAAGCAUCAUCUAUUUGAGGGUCACACACAUGCUUUGUUGCUGCGGCCUCAUCAUUAUCCACGAUAUUUAGAACAUGUUCAUUCUCAUCCAACCACUGAGUCACAUCAUCCUUGAAUGUACUGCUGUAACGUUCAAUACUGGAGAACCAAUCAUUCUGUUUAAGUUUUUCAUCCUCAGGUAACAGUGGAAUUAUUGUUUGAUGCAGGUUGAUAGCAGUAUCAAGGAGCUGAGUAAUAGUUUGCAACUGAGAUUUCACUUCCUGUACAUUUUCCUUUCGUUUCAUCAGCUCUUUCAUUGCAGGUAUUAAGCCUUUUAUUUUAUUCACAUGUGUUUUACGUUCAUUUUGUAGAUUUACCACUUUAUAUGCCAAUGCUUUUGCAGUAAGUUUCACAUUCCUUUUAGCAACCACAGUUUCAUUGUUUUCCACUUGUUCCAUGGCUUCACUCAUAUUGUCCUUUUGAGAUUCGGCAGUUCAGUGGUUCGCGCAGUGAAUCCACAAUACACCCAGCAUAGUUUUAUUUUUCCACAGCUUGUUUCACAUCAAUUAACAUCGGAAAACACCACAGGUAUUUACUCUCAACGAGCAGGACAGGCUGUCACAGCGGACUUUCACACACGCGCAGCGCUCCCCAAUGGAUGCGCUGUAUGCGCUGUAAUCAAACUGCGUUCCGUCCAACAUACACAGAAUGAAUGGAUGCGAGUGAUACAGUCCUACCGGUCUGAAGUCCACGUUGCGAUCAGUCUGGCGUUGCAGUUAGACACCGUGUGGCGUGAUCGCGUCCGUAUAUGCCGUUCGGGUGUUGAUACUCCUUUUUUGUUGACAAAAUAUAGUGACUAGGAACGAAAACAAAGUCACUGAGAGGCUAAGUGAGGGAGCUUCCGCAUUGGUGACUCGCUACACAAACCACAAGCCAUUUCCGUGUUUUCCGAUUGAGUUCACAUUUAUUUCCAACGCCGCACAAACAGACAGACAGGGCAAGGCAAGGCAAGAUGAUCUAUGGGCUUAGUUUGACGUUUAAAUCAAGCGGUCAACAAAAAAUACGCUCUCCCUACUCACCCCCUCUCCAUGCAGCCGCCGCAGCACCCAGGUGACUAUAUGUCCAUUCAUUCAAUCAUUCAAUCAUCGCGCCUUGACCACACCCCCUCGUGACGUGCAUGAAAGGUGCAGCCCAGACAGUUGAUGUCAACACACACAAACCUAACCACUUCUGCAUAUGGCACCUACAGUCUGUCUAAUGACAGUCAGGUGCUUAGGUUAGGAUUUAGAUUUAUGUUUACUGAAAAAAGCUGUAUAAAUUUGAUUUAACAUGACUGAAAAUAGAUUGAAAAUAAAUUAUUUUUAAAAUAUGUACAUUUGUUUGGUGUUGAAACAGUUCCACUGCUUUAUUGGUGUUGUAAAAACUGUAGGGAUGCCUUCACCCCCAAGGUCCCGUUUGUCUUAUCACGUUUUAAAGGACUGUUUCACUGCUUUGAAAAAAUUACAGAAAGCAAGUUCUGAGGUCUGGGUCUGCAGAAGAGAAUAGUUGGUGUCUGAACUGUCCUUCCUCGAUUCUACUUAAUGUCUGAGGUGAAUGAUGUUGUCUUUAGUUUGACUGCUGUCUUCUUGCAGACAGUCACUGGCUGCUCUGGGUAAGCUUCAGUGUUUUUUGUUUUUUUUUACAUUUAAUCACACACUUUAGACAUAGACUCC